UUUUGGGGUCGAUUUUGGGGUCCCCUCACCAGGAAUGGGGCGGCGCAGUGCCUUUGGGUUCAUUUAGGGUCCAUUUAGGGUCCCUUUUGGGGCUAUUUGGGUCCAUUUAGGGUCCAUUUUAGGACCAUUUAGGACCAUUUAAGGCCAUUUAGGGCCAUUUAGGGUCAUUUAGGGCCAUUUAGGGUCCUUUUAGGGUCGUUUUUGGGGUCGUUUUUGGGGUCCCCUCACCAGGAAUGGGGCGGCGCAGUGCCUUUGGGUUCAUUUAGGGUCCAUUUUGGGGCCAUUUGGGUUCACUUAGGGUCCAUUUUGGGGCCAUUUAGGACCAUUUUGGGGCCAUUUGGGGUCAUUUAGGGCCAUUUGGGGCCAUUUAGGGUCAUUUAGGGGUCAUUUUAGGGCCAUUUAGGGUCAUUUAGGGUCCUUUUAGGGUCGUUUUUGGGGUCGUUUUUGGGGUCCCCUCACCAGGAAUGGGGCGGCGCAGUGCCUUUGGGUUCAUUUAGGGUCCAUUUUGUCCCCAUUUUGGUCCAUUUUGGGGCCAUUUGGGUUCACUUAGGGUCCUUUUUGGGGCCAUUUAGGGUUAUUUAAGACCAUUUAGGGCCAUUUAGGGCCAUUUAGGGUCAUUUAGGGUCCUUUUAGGCCAUAUAGGGCCAUUUAGGGCCAUUUAGGGUCCUUUUAGGGACCAUUUAGGACCAUUUAGGGCCAUUUAGGGCCAUUUAGGGUCAUUUAGGGUCCUUUUAGGGUCGUUUUUGGGGUCCCCUCACCAGGAAUGGGGCGGCGCAGUGCCUUUGGGUUCAUUUAGGGUCCAUUUUGUCCCCAUUUGGGUCCAUUUAGGGUCCAUUUUAGGGCCAUUUAGGACCAUUUUGGGGCCAUUUAGGGCCAUUUAGGGUCAUUUAGGGACCAUUUAGGGCCAUUUGGGGCCAUUUAGGGCCAUUUAGGGUCAUUUAGGGUCCUUUUAGGGUCGUUUUUGGGGUCGUUUUUGGGGUCCC
ensembl:lncRNA